UUGCGGGCUGCAGUUGCACACUGUUUGGCUAGUUAGCAAACAAUCUAGUUAAUUAGUAUAACUGGCUCCUUGCAGCUAACGUUAUUGACUAUAUAAAAGUUAGCUAUCAUUAUCACAUGCCGUUAGCGUACUUACCCUGGUACGGUUUCAUGAGCGAAUGCUCCCGCUUUAAGUGCUCUACAUUGCCGUCUGUUAUAUCGCAUUUCAAUAGAGUAAAGUGAAGUAAUAGGAAAGGCAGUGGUCUGCUGAUAAAUGUACCAACAACUCUCAUUUUGCUGCCUGGGAAAGACACCAUGGAUCCUGGAUAACCAUCUUCCUGAUCCGGAUUUAACAUCAAAACAAUAAAGAAGGGAUCCUACCACUGCACCCGGGGGGGCCGCCCCCCAGGACUGACGACAUUUAUCAAGGAUCCCCAGUAGUUCCUGCCAAGGCAGCAGCUCUUCAUGUUUUUUAAAAUAGAAUUUGGGAGUACAUCCAACCGGCCUCACUACCGCACACCACCUGUAACCACGCCAGCCCAGGACCUCCCCAUCCGGACAACUGAUGAAACUGGUCUUGACCUGACUGCAGUUCGGAGUCGUAACUGACCUCGGUGGGCAAAUGCUCCCCUUCGAUGGCCACUAGCAUGCUGGAGAAGUGUGCUCUUCACGGAUUAAUCCAGGUUUCAACUGUUUCUGGCAGAUAGUGAGCGUGUAUGGCAUCGUGUGGGCGAGUGGUUUGCUGAUGUCAACGCUGUGAACAGCGUUCCCAUGGUAAAGGUGUGGUUGUGGUAUGGGCAUGCAUAAGUUACGGACAAUGUACACAAUUUAAUUUUUGUCAAUUUGAAUAAACAAAGAUAUCGUGCCCUUUAUCUGCCAGCAUACCUCAUAUUUCAGCAUGAAUGCACAGCCCCAUGUCGCAAGGAUCUGUACAAUUCUGUACAAUUCCUGGAAGCUGAAAACAUCCGGGUUCUUCCUUGGCCCGCAUACUCACCAGACAUGUCACCCAUUGAGCAUGUUCGGGAUGCUCUGGAUCAACGCGUACGUCUGCGUGUUCCAGUUCCAGCCAAUAUCCAGCAACUUCGCACAGCCAUUGACGAGGAGUGGGACAACAUUCCACAGUCCGAAAUCAACAGCCUGAUCAACUCUAUGUGAAGGAGAUGUGUCGAGCUGCAUGAGGCAAAUGGAAGUCACCAGGUACUGACUGGUUUUCUGAUGCACGCCCCUACCCUUUAAAUGUUUUAAUUUAUUUUAUUUUAUUCCCAGUGAUGUGAAAUCUGUAGAUUAGGGUUAGCUAGCCGGUAACUGGCUAACACCAGACACCGAUGAAAACCUAGCUAGCCAGUAGCUAACACCGGACACGGAUGAAGACAUAGCUAACACCAGACACAGAUGAAGACCUAGCUAACACCAGACACAGAUGAAGACCUAGCUAACACCAGACACAGAUGAAGACCUAGCUAA